UGUAGGUAUAAAAGGUACUUUACUAUAUGUGUCACCUGCAAUUGCACAUCUGCCGCCUCCACCGUCUGAAAAGAGAUCUAAAUACAAAACGCGACGUGCGCGCUUGUCCUGGGAACCCGUCGGCGCGGCGUCGUCAGAGCUGCUCCUCCGCUUCCUGGAAGCAGCUCAGGUGGGGCACAUUUACAUAAGAGGUGAAAAGAAAAACAACAACACGCGGCUUGAUCACGCUCACAGUGUGUUGUGCGUCCUUGCUCCGCUUGCGGCGUUGGUCUCAAUUACACGUAAGCCAAAAAGAAAACAUCCACUCUCUCACUUUCAUUGGAAAUUCAAGGCCUCGCGUCGCAGGUUUGAGUGCUUUCGUGCAACAUGGAUAAGUGAGAACCAGUCGUGCUCAGUAACUAAGUUUGUUAAGUGCAGCUGUGAGGCACCGAUUGAAUGUUGCUGGAGAAUCACAUUGCAGAUGCAGAUUAAAAAGUAUAAUGAGCUAAUAAAUGGUGGUGAAUUAUUACGGAUGAGCCACCUGCCAGUACUUAAAGUGGUGAAAGUCACCAGCAGCAUCAGUAUUAACAAAGAUCUCUGACCCUGAUUGUUUUAUUCAUCAACUGUUAACUGCCUCAAAGGCAACUCAAGUUUUUCAUCCGAGUGCUAAUGUUGCACUGUGGGUAAAUAUAAGCGGGUGUGGUUUACUCUAAUCCUUCUACUCGUAAUGUGCAAACAACGGUCCUUGAGCCCAUUUCUGCCCCGUUCAGUGCAAACUGUUGGAUGCGUUAACAUGGAGACAAUAAGGAAAGGAGCCGUGGAACGUGGGCGUGAGACCGCCUGAGGAUGACGCGAGGCUGACUCCAGCUGGGACAGAUGUGCCCCCCCCCUCCUCCCGAGACGCUGACAGUUGGAACGGCUGCUGUUCCGCAUGCCGGGCGGAGGAGUCACGUGCAGGGUUCAGGCGGGUGCAUCCGUGGGGCUCAGGAAUGCGUCUGUGGUUCGAGCCCACGGUGGCGAGAGCCGUCGAACCGGACCGGCGAGGGAACCUGAGCGGGAUCCUCUUCCCCACAGACCGGCAUGCAACAGAUAUUGAGUUUACAGUACGGAGCACUCGGAAAACGAUCAACAAGAGGAACGCCAUCCAAGCGGCAGUUGUUGGGCCGAGGCCAGGUCCGAUGUGUGUCACCGGCAGAUGGGACCUGAGAAACACGGCUGCUCGUGUACGAGACGGAGCAACAAACAGAGGCUGGGACGCUGCAGCAGGAAGUACCGAGACGGACGCGCAAAGCGGCUGGAAGGUCGUAACAGUUGAAUUGAAGAUUUUAUUGCAUCUGGUUGAACAAGGUCACAGCCUGAUGCAGACGCGUCCUCCCCCAACAGUGAAAGAAAGCACACGACGGGUGUGAGUUUGUCUGACACGGAAGGUCUGGAAACACCUUUGUGCAUGAUCCGACAACGUCAGCUUUUCCGACCGCCCCCCCGCAGCUCGCUCGCUCGCCCGCUCCCUCUCUCUCCUCUGCUCCCAUCAGGCUGGGAGCAUGUUCUGAGCCUCCUGGGAUGCUUUCACACACACUUCCCUGCCUCGGCUCCGCGUGUGUUUCCAAAACAGCUCCCGGAGCCGGACCUGCCUGGGCAUGUGGGCAUGUGGGGGUGCACUCGCACACAUGCGCUGCCGUGGCGGCGGCGGAGCCUGGUCAUGGGCCGCUGGCUUGGUGUCGGGCGAGGCCUCGACCUGCUGCGCGUCUCUGCGCGCUGUCACGCUCUCAACCGCAGCGCGGCCGAAGAGGAAGUGAGGUGGAGCGUGAGUAGAAGCGCAGGAGCGCCUCCGAGUCGCCUUUCCUUCCUCUUGAGCCGCGCUGAAAGCCUGGCGUCAUGGUAUCUGUUCUGACACCUGUGCUGUUUUGAAACUUUCCAACUGACACAGGAUUUUUAUGAAAUCUCUGUCUCGGCCGUGUAAAGAGGAAGGACUCGGGCCGUCGUGACGACACUUCAACCGUAGACGAGGACUCAUGAGACGGUUCCACCUCAUCCCCUGCUCUCACACUGGUUGAAUACUGAGCCUUCACUAGUCCGACUGACGCCUCUCGGACGGACGACGCAACGCGGCUUCACAGUCACAAGCAUCUCUGUAGGAAAGUAUGUCAGCUAUUCAGUUUCCACUCAUGGUGCAAUGACCCCCUCAACAUGUGGGCCCUGCAGCAGCACCCGGGGGUCGGGAGGCGAUGUUGACCCUCAGCCGAGGGGAAACAGACACAUGAUGACCCCCAGUGAGUGGCUGUUUAGCAUUUGCUGCGGUUUCAUCAUCAAGCGCUUGUGUUCUGACCGGCAGCCCGUGCACCCAGCAGCUCCUGUUCCAUGAAUCAGAAUGCGCCGGCUGACUGAUUCCAGUAGAGACCUGGGAGGUGGGGUUGUUCCAUGACUCCAAAUAGCGUGUGCAAAGGUCAGACGGUUCUCCUGGGUGCAUGUUGCCUUUUUGUGGCCGUAUUGUCUCCCCACAUCUUGUCUGACGUUUUUUUUUCCAUUUCCAAUGUGUUUAUUCUGACAAAUCUCUCUCUUACUAUUCGGCCAUGACCCGUGAUGGCUUGGCGUGAACGCGGGGAGGAUCCCUGUCUCAUUACUUCCUGUCAGGAAAAGGUCUGGGCACAAAACACCACAGAAUCUUUCAUGAAGGCAUCGCACAAGAAACAACACAGAGCUCCUGCAGUGGAAAAUUAAAUUAUCAGGCCGAGUCAGGCAAAUCCACGCCACCUGCUCACAAGCCAAGUGCUUAUCUUAAAUAAAUGAAAUGAAGUUUGCCAA